rnacentral:rRNA from 1 species
AGUGAACGCUGGCGGUAGGCCUAACACAUGCAAGUCGAACGGCAGCACAGUAAGAGCUUGCUCUUACGGGUGGCGAGUGGCGGACGGGUGAGGAAUACAUCGGAAUCUACUUUUUCGUGGGGGAUAACGUAGGGAAACUUACGCUAAUACCGCAUACGACCUACGGGUGAAAGCAGGGGAUCUUCGGACCUUGCGCGAUUGAAUGAGCCGAUGUCGGAUUAGCUAGUUGGCGGGGUAAAGGCCCACCAAGGCGACGAUCCGUAGCUGGUCUGAGAGGAUGAUCCGCCACACUGGAACUGAGACACGGUCCAGACUCCUACGGGAGGCCGCAGUGGGGAAUAUUGGACAAUGGGCGCAAGCCUGAUCCAGCCAUACCGCGUGGGUGAAGAAGGCCUUCGGGUUGUAAAGCCCUUUUGUUGGGAAAGAAAAGCAGCAGGUUAAUACCCCGCUGUUCUGGCGGUACCCAAAGAAUAAGCACCGGCUAACUUCGUG